rnacentral:rRNA from 1 species
UACAGAGGUCUCAAGCGUUGUUCGGAUUCAUUGGGCGUAAAGGGUGCGUAGGCGGCGCGGUAAGUCGGGUGUGAAAUCUCGGAGCUUAACUCCGAAACUGCAUUCGAUACUGCCGUGCUUGAGGACUGGAGAGGAGACUGGAAUUUACGGUGUAGCGGUGAAAUGCGUAGAUAUCGUAAGGAAGACCAGUGGCGAAGGCGGGUCUCUGGACAGUUCCUGGACGCUGAGGCACGAAGGCCAGGGGAGCAAACGGG